rnacentral:rRNA from 1 species
GACGAACGCUGGCGGCGUGCUUAACACAUGCAAGUCGAACGGAAAGGCCCUGCUCUUGUGGGGUGCUCGAGUGGCGAACGGGUGAGUAACACGUGAGUAACCUGCCCUUGACUUUGGGAUAACUUCAGGAAACUGGGGCUAAUACCGGAUAGGAGCUCCUGCUGCAUGGUGGGGGUUGGAAAGUUUCGGCGGUUGGGGAUGGACUCGGGGCUUAUCAGCUUGUUGGUGGGGUAGUGGCUUACCAAGGCUUUGACGGGUAGCCGGCCUGAGAGGGUGACCGGCGACAUUGGGACUGAGAGACGGACCAGACUCCUACGGGAGGCAGCAGUGGGGAAUAUUGCACAAUGGGCGGAAGCCUGAUGCAGCAACGCCGCGUGCGGGAUGACGGCCUUCGGGUUGUAAACCGCUUUCGCCUGUGACGAAGCGUGAGUGACGGUAAUGGGUAAAGAAGCACCGGCUAACUACGUG